rnacentral:snRNA from 1 species
UCAGCUCUCUUUGCCUUUUGGCUUAGAUCAAGUGUAGUAUCUGUUCUUUUUAGUUUAAUCUCUAGAACGCCCCUACGGGGGCAUUUCUUCUGAUUAAACUAGUUUUUGGGCCCCGGUCGAUGGCCUCUGGGCUCCGCUUACCGUCAUCGGCCACGGUGUCGCUCGUAUUGCACUGCCUCGGGCUGACGCGAACACCC